CCUACGGGGGGCAGCAGUGGGGAAUAUUGGUCAAUGGACGAGAGUCUGAACCAGCCAAGUAGCGUGAAGGAUGACUGCCCUAUGGGUUGUAAACUUCUUUUAUACGGGAAUAAAGUGGAGUAUGCAUACUCCUUUGUAUGUACCGUAUGAAUAAGGAUCGGCUAACUCCGUGCCAGCAGCCGCGGUAAUACGGAGGAUCCGAGCGUUAUCCGGAUUUAUUGGGUUUAAAGGGAGCGUAGGCGGGUGCUUAAGUCAGUUGUGAAAGUUUGCGGCUCAACCGUAAAAUUGCAGUUGAUACUGGAUAUCUUGAGUGCAGUUGAGGCAGGCGGAAUUCGUGGUGUAGCGGUGAAAUGCUUAGAUAUCACGAAGAACUCCGAUUGCGAAGGCAGCCUGCUAAGCUGCAACUGACAUUGAGGCUCGAAAG
rnacentral:rRNA from 1 species